ACCAUUAUUUAUAAACAUUUAAUUCGUUUAGGAGAUGAUGAUGAUACACCACUUAUUCAAGGUUUCUCUGAUGACGAUCCAUUAGUUGAAGCUUAACAACGUAAUGUAUUACGUUAUAUCUAAUGUUUCUUGAUGAAUUGAGUAAUAAUGUUUUUCAUUUACAUUAUAUUUCGUAUCUACUGUAAUAAUAGUGUAGAAUUUGAUUUAACUUAACUUUUGUGUAGCGUAUGCAGUUUGCUGUUUGAAAAAAUGGCUUCGAUAACCUGUUCACUAUUAAGUUCAGUCAAGGAUCUCUUGAGACACAUACAGUCGCAGAUCAUGGUCCGUACAGAAACAUUUUUCCAGUUGCAAUUCAAACCAGAAAUAUUUUCCAGUUAUAAUUCAAGCCUGAAAAGUUUUCCAGUUCAAGUGUAUUCCUAAUAUCCAUAAAUACAUAAUCUCAUUGUCCUGAAUCCUGAACAUUUACCUUACAGUGACAAUUAAGAUAGAGAAACGUGGAAUUUUUACAUGUAAUUUGUGGGAAAAGCGUAAGACGCAGUAUUGAAGAACGUGGCCCGUCUAUAGCACUAGAUUGAAUAAUAAUUCUUCAACAUAUUUAAUUCUUUAAAUUCUCUGCCUCAAUAGUCUAAAAUAGUCACAAUAGGUGUGAAGUAUUUCCUGCUUAAGAUUCUGAACGAACGAAUGAAGGACGAAGUCACACCCAGGACAUGCAGUCCUGCAAACUUUGCAAGGGCACCGCAAUAAACGUGUAUGUAACUCACUCUAAAGAUGCUUUGUUGCACACAAUAAGGGCGGAAUGAGUGGUGAAAAUUUCCAUUGUACGUACGCACUUUGAGGUGUAGGUUUGACUUGAAGAGUGAGUAUCGUGCCAGUGAUCCUUUGCACGCUUGUGUUUACAUUUUAUGUUUACAUUCGGCUGCAUCUGAUGUGAUGAAUAUACUUUCAUUACGAACAUUUUGCGUACAAAAAACGCAACAUUUCACAAGAUAUAACGACUUACUUCGUUUAAAAGAAGAAAUAGAGUAUAUGGGCCAAUACAAAUUAAAUCCUGGAGAUCACUUAUAAAUAUCUCAAGAGUCAGCCAUUUUCUGGGACUCCAAGCGCCCAAAGGAUCACUGGCAUAAUAUUUAUACUCACUCUUUAAAAAUUCAGGAUUCGAAGAACAGUACAUGCAUGUCUUGCAGGACUAAAAAUCAGUUCAGGUAAAUUCCAUGUUUAAAAAUGGCAAAGCAACGUACGGACAAUGGUCGGCGACAGAUAAUUGGGAUAUGGAAAUUUUAAACAUUUCGCUCAAGAAUCCGUUGGGCAAUGUUUUCGUAGAUACCCUAUAAAAAGACAAUGAUGUUCUAAAUUUUGAAAGUAGAUUCCUGAGCAUAAUCAAGUGGCCAAUGUAAUUAUAUUGUCGAGGAUCCUAUUAAUAACCAGUAAUGAUACUUAAUAAUGAACUGAUUUUAAAUGUUAGAUUAGUGUGUAGAAAUUGUAGUGAAAUAUACCUCUAGUUUCAUAGUUUGUAUUGUAGAAGGUUUUUAAUUGCACAACUGCUUGUAAUUUAUGACAGAUUAAUAAAAUAAAUAGAACUCAUUUUGUUGUGAUUGACUUUAGACUUGCUCCAAGUUCCUA
rnacentral:lncRNA from 1 species